GGGGGGGGGCUGUUGCAGGCGAUCGGAUUGUAACCGGGGUGGGGGCGCGAUCUGGUCCCUCCAAGGUCCUGCACGGGAACAUCAGCUGCUGGGGCGAUCGGGUGCUGGAGGCUCGGCAGGAGGCAGAGCUCUUCCAGAGGGAGACGCUAUACGGACCCCUGGGGACCCCGCCCUGCAGCCUCCUGUGGGAGGAGAGAGUGCGUGACCAGACGGAGAAGCUCUUGUGUCAGGAGUCGGGGGCCUCAGGGCCAAGGGGGCGACUCCCCCCCAGGCUGCGGCGGGCCGGGCAGCUGUUCUGGGCCCUGGCCAAGGGCCUGUUCCUGGCCCUGCUGGGCCCCCUGGUGCUGGGCCCCCUCCGCGCCCUGCUGUCGUGCCUGCCCCCCGUCUG
rnacentral:lncRNA from 1 species